ACGUAGGGGGCAAGCGUUAUCCGGAAUUAUUGGGCGUAAAGAGUGCGUAGGUGGUUUUUUAAGCGUGAGGUGAAAGGCAAUAGCUUAACUAUUGUAAGCCUUGCGAACUGGAAGACUUGAGUGCAGGAGAGGAAAGUGGAAUUCCUAGUGUAGCGUUGAAAUGCCUAGAUAUUAGAAGGAACACCAAUGGCGAAGGCGACUUUCUGGACUAUAACUGACACUGAUGCGCGAAAGCGUGGAGAGCAAACAG
rnacentral:rRNA from 1 species